ACGAACGCUGGCGGCGUGCCUAAUACAUGCAAGUCGAGCGAGGACUUUUUCGGAGUCUAGCGGCGGACGGGUGAGUAACACGUGGGGCAAACCUGCCUGUAAGACUGGGGAUAAACACCGGGAAAACCGGUUGCUAAUACCGGAUAAUCCUUUUUUCUCUCAUGAGGAAAAAGCUGAAAGUCGGUUUUCGGCUGACACUUUACAGAUGGGGCCCGCGGCGCAUUAGCUAGUUUGGUGAGGUAAACGGCUCACCAAGGCGGACGAUGCGUAGCCGACCUGAGAGGGUGAUCGGCCCACACUGGGGACUGAGACACGGCCCAGACUCCUACGGGAGGCAGCAGUAGGGAAUCUUCCACAAUGGACGAAAGUCUGAUGGAGCAAACGCCGCGUGAGCGAUGAAGGCCUUCGGGUCGUAGAGCUCUGUUGUUUAGGGAAGAACAAGUACCGGAGUAAACUGCCGGUACCUUGACGGUACCUAACCAGAAAAGCCACGGGCUAAACUACGUGCCAGCAGCCGCGGGUAAUACGUAGGUGGCAAAGCGUUUGUCCGGAAUUAUUGGGCGUAAAAGGCGCGCGCAGGCGGUCCUUUAAGUCUGAUGUGAAAAGCCCACGGCUCAACCGUGGAGGGUCCAUUGGAAAACUGGGGGACUUGAGUGCAGAAGAGGGAAAGCGGAAUUCCACGUGUAGCGGUGAAAUGCGUAGAGAUUGUGGAGGAACACCAGUGGCGAAGGCGGCUCUCUGGUCUGUAAAACUGACGCUGAGGCGCGAAAGCGUGGGGAGCAAAACAGGAUUAGAUACCCUGGUAGUCCACGCCGUAAAACGAUGAGUGCUAAGUGUUAGAGGGUUUUCCGCCCUUAGUGCUGCAGCUAACGCAUUAAGCACUCCGCCUGGGGAGUACGGCCGCAAGGCUGAAAACUCAAAGGAAUUGACGGGGGGCCCGCACAAGCGGUGGGAGCAUGUGGUUUUAAUUCGAAGCAACGCGAAGAAACCUUACCAGGUCUUGGACAUCCUCUGACACUCCUAGAGAUAGGAUUUUCCCCUUCGGGGGGACAGAGUGGACAGGUGGUGCAUGGUUUGUCGUCAGCUCGUGGUCGUGAGAUGUUGGGUUAAGUCCCCGCAAACGAGCGCAAACCCUUGAUCUUAGUUUGCCAGCAUUCAGUUGGGCCACUCUAAGGUGGACUGCCGGUGGACAAACCGGAGGAAGGUGGGGAUGACGUCAAAAUCAUCAUGCCCCCUUAUGACCUGGGCUACACACGUGCUUACAAUGGAUGGUACAAAGGGCUUGCAAAGACCGCGAGGUUUUAAGCCAAUCCCAUAAAAACCAUUCUCAGUUUCGGAUUGUAGGCUGCAACUCGCCUACAUGGAGCCGGAAUCGCUAGUAAUCGCGGAUCAGCAUGCCGCGGUGGAAUACGUUUCCCGGGCCUUGUACACACCGCCCGUCCACACCACGAGAGUUUUGUAAACACCCGAAGUCGGUGGGGGUAACCGUAAGGAGCCAGCCGCCUAAGGUGGGGACAGAUGAUUGGGGUG
rnacentral:rRNA from 1 species